CAAUCAACACACCGCAAGAUCAAAAAAAUCAAAAAUUAUAUUAACCUAACCCCGAGGGGUUAGGUCAGCUGGCUGGGGCUGUCCUAGCUUAACCACAGGUCUCGAGUUCGAGCUGUGGGAAUGCAGCACCCUGAGGGGCCAGAGGGCGCCGACCGAAAGGUUCCUUGCAAGCCCUCGUUCCGGAUUAGUCUGGGGACGUUGUCACGGCUGAAAGACGCCUAUUUCCCUAGGAUACCGGAGGAGAAAUCCAAAAAAAAAAA